CAGCAGCCGCGGUAAUACAGAGGAUGCAAGCGUUAUCCGGAAUGAUUGGGCGUAAAGGGCUCGCAGGCGGUUUCUUAAGUCUGAUGUGAAAGCCCCCGGCUCAACCGGGGAGGGUCAUUGGAAACUGGGAAACUUGAGUGCAGAAGAGGAGAGUGGAAUUCCACGUGUAGCGGUGAAAUGCGUAGAUAUCGGAAGGAACACCUGUGGCGAAAGCGGCUCACUGGACCAUAACUGACGCUGAGGCGCGAAAGCUAGGGGAGCAAAUGGGAUUAGAUACCCCGGUAGUCCCUGUCUCUUAUAC
rnacentral:rRNA from 1 species